rnacentral:rRNA from 1 species
GUGGGGAAUCUUGCACAAUGGGGGAAACCCUGAUGCAGCGACGCCGCGUGAGCGAUGAAGCCCUUCGGGGUGUAAAGCUCUUUCGGCAGGGACGAUAAUGACGGUACCUGCAGAAGCAGCUGCGGCUAACUACGUGCCAGCAGCCGCGGUAAUACGUAGGCAGCGAGCGUUGUUCGGAGUUACUGGGCGUAAAGGGUGUGUAGGCGGUUCUCUAAGUUUGGUGUGAAAUCUCCCGGCUCAACCGGGAGGGUGCGCCGAAAACUGGAGGGCUAGAGUGCGGGAAGGGAGAGUAGAAUUCCUGGUGUAGCGGUGAAAUGCGUAGAUAUCAGGAGGAAUACCGGUGGUGCAGACGGCUCUCUGGACCGCGACUUACGCUGAGACACGAAAGCGUGGGUAGCAAACAGGAUUAGAUACCCUAGUAGUCC